UUAAUUCUUUCUUCUUUUCUCCUUGUUUUUCCUCUUCUCUUGCUGAAACACAGAGAGACCGAGAGAGUGAGAUUAGAGAUGAGAAAGAGAGAUCGGUUGAGGGAGAGAACCCGAGAGAGAGAGAGAGAGAGAGAGAGUGAAACAGGGAUAGAGAUAUCGAGAGAGAGAGAAUCUGAGAUUGAGAGGGAGACAAAGAGAUGAGACCGAGAGAUCGGGAGAGAAGGAGAGACAGAGAUCGAGAGAGAGAUCGGAGGUCGAUCCUCCAUGGAUUGACGCCGGCGACUUGAGUUCCGGCCGGUGCUACCGGUGGAACCCAGGAGCUUGAACCCGUGACCCGUGAGCCGAACCUGACGAAUCCGGGAGAACCCAUGCGACCCAAUCUUCAGUGGUGAAGUCCAACGUGAUUUUCGGCGUUUGGAUGCUGUUUUCGGGUGGUUUUCGUCAAUAGUGGACUGCCCAGCAACCUGUACGACCCGUGACCAUGAGACCCGUGACCCAGACCGAACUGAGAGAGAGAUCCGGUGGCUUCCAGUGGCAAUUUCCGACGACUCAGGAUGUUUUUCCGGCAAACAAUGUAGAAAAUCAUUACCUUGCUGAUUCUACCCCUUUUCUAGUGGAUUCUCUAUGAAAAAUUAUCAAGGUGAAAGCUCGACCUCGAUGCUAAUGGCCAGUCCAGGGAUUCUGUUAUUCAAAAGUGUUUUCAGAAGAUUCUGCACAGUUUGCAAGACAGAAAAAUCGGUUCCCUGUUAGCCGUCCGAAGGACGUGUCUUCCCGUCCGGACGCCCAGCUAUCCAAAGCUCCAGCCGUCCGGACGACAUGUCAUACCGUCCAGACGCUCAUCAAACUAAAGCAUCAUCCAUCCGGACGACGUGGAUUCCCGUCCGGACCUUCCUUUGUGUCGAGAAGCUUCGAACUGUUCCAGCUUGCAUCCGUCCGGACAUUUCAACAGCCCGUCCGGACGACUCUCAGUGUUCGACCAAGCUUCAGAUUUUUUUUCCAAAAUCAAAUAUGGGAAGAUUGCUGUAACCGUCUGGACGCACUACUCCUUAAGGCAAGUUCGCAAUUCAAACUCAAACGUCCAAACGCCAGUCUGCCAUGGUCCGGACGCGCGUUCAACAGAUAUGGAAAUUGCGUGUAGCAGAUCACCCGUCCGAAUGGCCAUCCUUCUAGUCCAGACGCACGAAGUCUUUAUAAGGAAAUUACUUGCAGCGAAUGUGCGACCGUCCGGACGAUAGGGCAACACCAUCCGGACGUGACUCUCAAACAGGAAAGAUUUUCAUCGAAAAUCUCAAAAUUUCGGUCGCACAAUUGUCCGUCCUAAAGGCUUAUGACCUCCGUUCGGACGGCGCCCAGCUUUAUCAAGCCAGACACUCAUUUGAGCCCUUAGCCUAUAAAUAGAGGCCCCUGUGCUUGAGAAUUGAAAGAAUUCAGUACUGAAUUCCACUAGUGCUUAGAGAGUUAUUUUGUGAGGUUAUUGAGAUGAGUUGUUCUCUCUGAAGUCAUUGCUGUGUGUACUGUUGCUGCACUUAAACUAAAGUUUAUCUUAGGAUUUGGCCCUAAGAUAAAGGAUUCCAUUGAAGACCCCUUCAGGUAGGAGACCUAGUUGGGAGGCGUUCGUGUUAGGCUAAACGUUAGAGUGUAAGGAUGCAAUAAUCAGAGUCACUUUUUGGUAAUGGCAUAAACCUCGCUAAGAGCAAUAGAUUGUUGGGGGACUGAUGUAACCUUUGUAAUUUAUAGUAUGUUUCUCUUUUGAAAUUUAUAGCAUUGUAAAGAGCUACUCUUAUGUUCAUAUAAACAAAUUAGAUGAUUAAGAUCUAUAUUUAAAAGUGGUGUGCUUUAUGUAAAUGUAUUUUUUAGGCUCAAGUUCGCGUUCUCCUUAUUUCCCAAAAAGGGGGCGUGACACUAGCACCCACUGACCCCGCCGCAUCAUCAAGCGUGACUAAUGGGACCGCGUGAUGGCUUCCUCAUGAUGCGUAUUCCCAAUCAUUUGGGAAUAAGCCUGAGUACUCAAGCAAGGUUAGAGGGGUUGGCAAGAAUGUGAGGCCUGUCUCGGGGACCACACAAAUGUACUAUACCCCGACACAAGCAAGAUCACAAAUUUCUAGGCCCUCCACUGCAUCGUCGCAAGAAGAAAUAAAUCGAGCAGUCAACCUCGCCCUAUCACUUAAGGUGCGCGUUUCUGAGCUCCAAUCUAUUAUAGAAGCUCAGCACAAGGCGGCAAAGGACCGGCACAAUACUGAGAUCGCAAGGCGCGAGCAUGCGUGGGAAAGAGAGAAGGCUAAGUGGGAGUCUCAUUGGAGCAGCUUGACGUCGAUGAUGACCCCGUCCACAUCCGCGGCCGCAGCCUCUCAAGAUACCCUCGCGCCUGUCACAGGUGAUUCACCUCGCCAGCUUGUGGGAUCGUCUGUGGGUAGCGCUCCC